GUUUUUAAACUAUGUCAUCAAAUAUCUACAAAACCUUCAUAACAACGGAAAAGUACAAGGUGUACGUGGAUGAAAAACAGUCUGCAAUGUGCUGCUACUACCCUAAACAGAGUGUGAGAUGCACCUACUGCUGUUUCAAGUCUUUAAUCCCCAACUCUGAGUUUGAGAUCUGAAUGCCAGACAGGCUCUAUUAUUCUUGUCACUUAUAUCAAAAGGCAUGCGUUGAAAACCUGAAGUGGAAGAACUGCAUCGAAAGCAGCCCUCUUAAGAACUGAGGUUUUUAAAGUAAGUUGGGAUGGGAGUGUAACAAAGCCUCUGUGUUGUGCUGUUGCACAUCAGAGCCAAGAAAACCCUAAGGGGCACAUCUCUAGUACCAUGUCUAGCAGAUUAUGCAUGCAACUGUAGUUGCCAGUAAUGAGUUGUGUGGCUAAUUUGUCAUGCACAGCACUGAAACACUCCCCACAGGCAGCUGAAUUCAUGAGGCACUUUGCUUCCCCCCAAGGUGAUGAGCACCACUAGAGCUCCUCAUAGUAAAUGGGACAAGAAAACUUUCGUCUGUUGCAAGGGCAGACCUUGGCAAAUAGAAAAUCAGAAGCGGGAAGAAAACACUGUCUUUAAACAGCAACUCAAGCCACUCAGAAGGGGUCGUUAUGCUGGAUGAUAUUUACAGAGGUUUACUUAUCUUUAGUGAUAUGCCAUGAAUUAAUAAGAGGUGUUACAAAUGACUUUAUGAAGCACAGAAAAAUCAGACCGUUGUUUUAUUUUCUUGCUGACUUUAUGAUCCAAGUGUUUUCAAUUUACAACUCAAAUGCUUAUUUGCAAAAAUUAGCCAGCAUGACAAAGUUCUCUUGCAGUAUGAAAAUACAAGUCAUGCUCCAGCUCUGAGACUGUCACAUGUGCUUCUGUCACAUCAGCUUUUGUGGAAUUAGAAUAAAAUUGAGGUUGCUGGGCCGAAGCUGUAUUGUAUCUGAGAAGCUAAUGUGGUUACCUGUUUGGUCAAGAAGGAAAAAAAGAAAGAAGAAAAGAAAGAAAGCUCCUUUGCAGCUUUUCAAAUUGCUCUUCAGAAGUCUGAAUCCCUUAAACUGCUCCUCAGGUGGAUUUUACUGGACCACGAGUCUGUGAAGGUGAACUAUUAAACCAGCUGUUGAUAUUAAUAUACAUAUUAAACUUAUUGUUAAUAGUGGUG
ensembl:lncRNA